rnacentral:tRNA from 1 species
GGCAGAGUAGAGCAAUGGUAGCUCGUGAGACUCAUAACCUCAAGGAAACUGGUUCGAUUCCAGUCUCUGCAACCA